rnacentral:tRNA from 1 species
CAGAGGAUAGUUUAAAAUAAAACGUUGGUUUUGGAGAUUAAUAAUAAGAGAAUUCUUUCCUUUGA